UUGUUUGUUUAAUCCUUGUGUCUUUCAGUCUGUUUCUGCCUAUCACAAUGAGUGAUUCAGAACUUCAAGAGCAACUUUUGAACCUUGAUACUCGGAUUGAUCAAGAUUUCAAUUAUAAGCUCAAGUCUUGAUGACAACUUGGUGAUCUGCAGGAAGCAACUCCAGUAAAGACAACUGAACCAAGGGUAUGGUGGAGAAAGAGACACAUUGUGUAAGGAAGGCCAAGACCAAUCUGGAAUCAAUAAAGGCUCAUAGGAACUCCAAUCGUCCCAACUGUGAGAGGGCCUUGCUCCAGUGACUGUUGGAUAUUGGCAUACCAGGAUAGGCGUGGUUUAACUGUUGGGAAGGAGGUUGGAACAGUGCAAUGUUUCCUCUCUUGGAUUGCAGUGACCAGACAUGCUACUGUAACUCUCAUGGUCAUGUGCUGGAAUUAGCAGAUGUUCAACUAUUUGGCCAUCUCACUGACCUGUUGAUAUCAGAAGACCACAACAGCUCUGCAAUGCAAGUUGCAAAACAGAAUCUAUGAAACUGGCAGUGACCGGAAACCAAUUGGAAGACUUUGGUUUAUGAUGUAAAGAAGUGGGCAGACGAAGCAAAGACAACAAAAAACAGAAGUGAUGUGGAUGUCUUCGCCUUAUAGCAUGACACUGUCGAUCUAACGAGAAGGGCGUUCAACAUUAUCCUGCUAGUAAGGACUCUUUAAGAGAACAGAGGAUUCUUGUGGCAGAGAUGGCCAACCAUUAUAAAUACCAAAUACCUUUCAACUCAUCCUGGUUCCUUCAGAGAACUGUCCUGCUUAUGUGCUACUGAAAAAUACGACAUGUGGCCUAAACGAAGAGGGGUUAAAAGGUCUGUGGAUCAUCAUUCUCAGAAAG